GCUACACAUGCAGUCGACGAUGAAGCCGGAGCUUGCUCUGGUGGAUUAGUGGCGAACGGGUGAGUAACACGUGAGUAACCUGCCCUUGACUCUGGAAUAAGCGUUGGAAACGACGUCUAAUACCGGAUACGAGCUUCCGCCGCAUGGUGAGGAGCUGGAAAGAAUUUCGGUCAAGGAUGGACUCGCGGCCUAUCAGGUAGUUGGUGAGGUAAUGGCUCACCAAGCCUACGACGGGUAGCCGGCCUGAGAGGGUGACCGGCCACACUGGAACUGAGACACGGUCCAGACUCCUACGGGAGGCAGCAGUGGGGAAUAUUGCACAAUGGGCGCAAGCCUGAUGCAGCAACGCCGCGUGAGGGACGACGGCCUUCGGGUUGUAAACCUCUUUUAGUAGGGAAGAAGCGAAAGUGACGGUACCUGCAGAAAAAGCACCGGCUAACUACGUGCCAGCAGCCGCGGUAAUACGUAGGGUGCAAGCGUUAUCCGGAAUUAUUGGGCGUAAAGAGCUCGUAGGCGGUUUGUCGCGUCUGCUGUGAAACUGGGGGCUCAACCCCCAGCCUGCAGUGG
rnacentral:rRNA from 1 species